UAGUGGCUGUGGACCUCUGAACGUGUAUCUCAUAUGAACGACGCGCGUGUCCGACAUUCUUACGUGAACUGCUUACCAGCACUUGAGACUAGAGACCGCCCUUAGCUACGUAUGCGCGCGUCCACGCGAAUGGCUGGAAAUGCUGCGGCUGAGAGCUAAAGUGUGCGAGACCAGCGACGCGUGAUUACUUUUACCAACCAUUAAAAUAUUCCGCGGAUUCGACAUUUCCAUUGCAGGACAGCUCAUCGUGAUCGGAUUAAGAUGGUGUCAAGAGUUUAAAGGAAUGUGACGGAGCACAAAACCGAUAACGGUAUUUCGGGCUGACCCUGACAUCCUGUUGUUUCUCUAUUGAGGGAAAGUAGAGGGUUCGGUUAAUGCGAGAGACGGAUCAGGGAUCUGUUGACGAGAGAUGAUGAAGGUGACGAGAUUAACCCCGAGUGAAACACUGGUGAUCUGCUGAUGUGCACACAUGCGUGCACCCCACCCACCCUCCCACACACACACACAACACACACAACUGACACUGAUUCACUGCAAUCUAUCUCUGGGUUAUAAAAAUAAACUAUUACUAGUGAUAAGUGUAAAAACAGAACAGAUGACACCAUUUCUUGCUGCUGCACAUGGCGUCCUUUGAGGGAGAUUGUGUAUAUUCUGUAAUGGUUACAUCAAAAUGGAGCCCUUUGAGGGAGAUUGUGUAUAUUCUGUAAUGGUUAUAUCAAAAUGGAGCCCUUUGAGGGAGAUUGUGUAUAUUCUGUAAUGGUUAUAUCAAAAUGGAGCCCUCUGAAAAACCUCUACCGAGGUGCUGACUUCCCUGACACGAUAAGAUGGUGGAUUUUGUUGUAAUGACUAUGUAAUAAAGAUGGUAAUACGGCCAUAAAUACUAGGCUUGAAUGUUGAGACUGUUUUGAUGAAAUUCUGUAAUAUUUGGAUGAAAUGUUACUGUAAUUGGAUGACUGACAGGAUCAGAAAAUCCCAUAAUAAUGUUCGACUACAGAACCGCUAUGGCUCAGAACUGUUAUACAAGCUCAGAACAACAUCAAUCUAUAUCUUCUGCCCAUGUCAGCACUUGCAUAGAUUUAUUUUUUGCUUUGCGUGGUUCGAUGCCAUCCAUAGUCAUUAGACAUCAUGAGUAAUUCUUACAAAAGGCAGAUAGGAAAAUGUCGAUAGAAAUUUACUGAUUAGCCUAGCUAUUUAAAUGAUUGUUGGUCCUCUAUGUCUUGUUUUGGUAGCAGUUGUUUUGGUCAUUUCAGCACAAUUAAUGUAAUGCAGAAAGCUCUACAGCCAGCUUUUGUGAAACAUGAAAACAAUGAAAACUAAAAGAAAAAUAUCUAAAGCUGUUGUUCACACACUUUGGGUGAUAGAAAUGGUAUGGUUAUAGAUAGAACCAUAAAGGAUUAUAAGCAGAACAUUUGAGAACAUUUGGUGACUCAUGCAUGGGAAUUAUGAGUGGAGCCUUUCAAAGUUGCUUUUCAGCCAGUAGAACAGUGGGAAAUUAGUAUGUGAAUUGACAGUUUGCCACCAGUGUGGUAGGUUGAGAUAAAAAAAAAAAUCUGGCAUAUUCCUUUAAGGUGCCUUUUGUCCUCUCUCUGAUCGUAAAGGUAGUGUCUAAGUGGUGUGUAGUGUAGUGUAGUGUAGUGUAGUGUAGUGUAGUGUGGCUCAGUCAGUGGGGUCAGUUUAGUGAAAGCAAUUGGCGUGGGGAGGCUGAGCUCCGGCUCGCUGGUCAGCAGACAGCUGUUCCUCUCCGACCCAGAAGAGAUUCAUUAACAGGCAUUGGGAAGCCGAUGCGAUGCUCUGGG
ensembl:lncRNA